rnacentral:rRNA from 1 species
AACGAACGCUGGCGGCAUGCCUAACACAUGCAAGUCGAACGAGACCUUCGGGUCUAGUGGCGCACGGGUGCGUAACGCGUGGGAACCUGCCCUUAGGUUCGGAAUAACUCCCCGAAAGGGGUGCUAAUACCGGAUAAUGUCUUCGGACCAAAGAUUUAUCGCCUUUGGAUGGGCCCGCGUUGGAUUAGCUAGUUGGUAGGGUAAAAGCCUACCAAGGCGACGAUCCAUAGCUGGUCUGAGAGGAUGAUCAGCCACACUGGGACUGAGACACGGCCCAGACUCCUACGGGAGGCAGCAGUGGGGAAUAUUGGACCAUGGGCGGAAGGCUGAUCCAGCAAUUCCGCGUGAGUUAUUAAGGCCUUAGGGUUUGAAAGCUCUUUUACCCGGGAUUAUUAUUACAGUACCGGGAGAAUAAGCCCCGGCUAACUUCGUG